UGUGACCUCAAAUCAGGUAGGACUACCCGCUGAACUUAAGCAUAUCAAUAAGCGGAGGAAAAGAAACUAACAAGGAUUCCCCUAGUAACUGCGAGUGAAGCGGGAAAAGCUCAAAUUUAAAAUCUGGCAGUCCUUUAACUGCCCGAGUUGUAAUCUAGAGAAGUGUUAUCUGUGCUGGACC
rnacentral:rRNA from 1 species